rnacentral:rRNA from 1 species
GACAGAGGGUGCAAACGUUGUUCGGAAUUACUGGGCGUAAAGCGAGUGUAGGCGGUUUGGAUAGUCGGAUGUGAAAGCCCCGGGCUCAACCCGGGAAGUGCAUUCGAUACUCCCAAGCUAGAGUAUCGGAGAGGUUGGUGGAAUUCUCGGUGUAGAGGCGAAAUUCGUAGAUAUCGAGAGGAACACCGGUGGCGAAGGCGGCCAACUGGACGAAUACUGACGCUGAGACUCGAAAGCGUGGGGAGCAAACAGG